rnacentral:lncRNA from 1 species
UUCAUAGAGUUCGGUCUUCUGCUCAACCUCCUCAAGAUUGUAGACUUGUUCAUCGCAGGUAUUUAUUUAUAUCCUCGUCUUCUCUUACUCUCUUCACCUGCAUUUUAUAUCAAACCCAAUGCUACGUUUGAACCGAGAGAAUAAAAUUUGGUAUCAUUAAGACCUAUUUUAUUACAAUUUAUGAGUGGGUGUGGGUGUGUCAUGUAAUAUGUAAUGCAGGACUACUACCUUGGCCUUGGGUUUGGCUGGUUUGGUGCUGGGCUUGAAUUUGGGUGGUGAUAGGAAUGCAAACGCCGCAUCACGGAGGCCUCCGCCGCCACCACCGGCGGAGAAAAAAGAUCCAG